rnacentral:lncRNA from 10 species
AGUCCAGCUGCCGUCGCCGCCGCCAGCGGACGGGGCGGGGAUCCUGGUGCCAGGUCUUCGUUAACCCGCCCCCGCCGCCUCAGUCAGCUGUCCCAGCCCGGGCCCGACCGUCAUGGAGCGGUGCGGGGCCUACGCCUGUUCCGUGUGAGGCGCAUCGCUGCCGCCGCCGCCGACGCCGCCUUCGUUUGUCGAGGCCUCCGGAACCCCCGCCGCCUCCCGGAGCCCCUCGCCCUUGGCAGCCUGUCACCGCCCCCUGGGCGGGCUCGAAUGCGCGUCCGGUGAAGGUGCAGGCCCGGCGCCGCCACUGCCGCAGCCAGGAGAUGGUUCGGGCCUAGCGGAGCCGGGACUGGAGGUAAGAAGGGCCGACAGACUGACCCAGGGCCGGGCCGGGCCGCGGGGGUUGUGGCCGGGGCCGGGUGGGGGUGGGGGCCCGCAAGUUCUGCGGGGAGCCUCGGGGAGACCCUCCGGGCUGGGGCUGCUCAAUCAGGCGUCACCCCUCCUCUCAUCUGCGCGUCCCACCCCACCACCUUCCCGCAAAGAUAAGAAAAUAAAAAAAGCUAACCCAAUCCU